rnacentral:rRNA from 1 species
GAGUUUGAUCCUGGCUCAGGAUGAACGCUGGCGGCGUGCCUAACACAUGCAAGUCGAGCGGAGCGGUCUUGAUGAAGUUUUCGGAUGGAAUCAGGAUUGUCUUAGCGGCGGACGGGUGAGUAACACGUGGAUAACCUGCCUUAUACUGGGGGAUAACAGCCAGAAAUGGCUGCUAAUACCGCAUAAGCGCACGGCGCCGCAUGGCGCAGUGUGAAAAACUCCGGUGGUAUAAGAUGGAUCCGCGCCUGAUUAGCUAGUUGGCGGGGCAGCGGCCCACCAAGGCGACGAUCAGUAGCCGGCCUGAGAGGGCGACCGGCCACAUUGGGACUGAGACACGGCCCAAACUCCUACGGGAGGCAGCAGUGGGGAAUAUAGCACAAUGGGGGGAACCCUGAUGCAGCGACGCCGCGUGAAAGGAGAAGUAUUUCGGUAUGUAAAGCUCUAUCAGCAGGGAAGAAG